UACGAAGGGGACUAGCGUUGUUCGGAAUCACUGGGCGUAAAGCGCACGUAGGCGGCUUUUUAAGUCAGGGGUGAAAUCCCGGGGCUCAACCCCGGAACUGCCCUUGAAACUGGAGAGCUAGAAUCUUGGAGAGGCGAGUGGAAUUCCGAGUGUAGAGGUGAAAUUCGUAGAUAUUCGGAAGAACACCAGUGGCGAAGGCGACUCGCUGGACAAGUAUUGACGCUGAGGUGCGAAAGCGUGGGGAGCAAACAGG
rnacentral:rRNA from 1 species